GGGCUGCUGUGGCUGCUGGCAUCAGGGCACAGGGCAGAGCAGGAGCGAGAAGAGCCUCUCCAGAAGAAAUGGGCCUGUCUAGGUGCUGUUCUCAGCUGGGGUUGCUGGAAGGAGUGAGGGGUGUCUGCUGUAGGAACGCAUCAGUCUGGAAGACUGCUGGAUUCAUCUGCUGCUGCGGUUCCUAUUCUCCCCGGGCCUGGGUCAGUUCAGUUAAACCAAGCACAUCCUUCAUAGUUUCCCACACACAGUGACUUCCGCGGGUACCCCCAGCUCCCUGUACAUCUUCUGUGAUAGACUUAAAAUCCCAGGGCAGGUUUUUCUUCUACUGAUACACCCGUGACUUCCCCCCUACUGCCCAUCUGGUAGGGACUCAAGCCAAGAGAAUUAACUUAAAUAUUAGCUUAGGAAAACAAGCAGAAAUAUAAAUCCUCCCACCUUCAAGUUAAAUUCAACACAGGUGUCUUUUGGGUUAUCUUCUAUAGUAUAUAUGCCUGGGCUACUUUCCAUUAUUGGUAAUUGAUAACUUGGUACAAUGUAUAUUUACUAAGCCUAAAAAGAAAAGAGAAACUCAAAAAAGGGGGCAAAGUAUUACAUGUUUCUGGAGGCCCCAUCCACUUUUGCCGUUGGUGCUUGGGAUUGUGGGUGGAGGAGUUCUAACCGACAGCAAAUGGCUUCACUUUGGAAACUGCUGGGUUGCCCUAAGUUUUAGAGCCCAAAACAGUGGCUCUUAAACUUCAGGUUGCAUUAGAAUGACCUGGAAGACUUGUUAAAAUACAGAUUCCUGGGCCCCACUGCCAGAGUUUCUGAUUCAGUAGGUCUCAGGUUUGCUUCAGCGGGAACCCAAACUAAGACUCUAUAAAUAAGAAAUGGCGACUGUUCUUUAUAAGUUCGCAUUCAGACGGAGAAAGUAUGUAAACUGGCUUGGUACAAUUCAGAACAUCUGGGAACUGUGGCCUUAAUUUCUACCCUAACCCCUUCCACGAUCUCCACCUUAUCAUCAUCAUCAUCAUCAUCACCAUCAGACCUCCUGGAGAGAUCCAAAUGAAAACACCCUAUGGUGAGAAAGUCCUCUUCAAGUCCAGUUCCAGCCUUCCAGUCAGACACAGCAUGUACUGAAAUUCUGCUGUUGCCACCGAAAAGAUCCACUCUCUGCUUGGCUGGUCAUUCACACAAAUCACUCUUGGGCAGUAUGGCACCCAGAGUUGUUUCCCUCCACUGUUCAACUUGGUUAGAGGAAGAAUGAAGUCUACUGUACCAGAGCAUUGCAUCAACAACAGUAUCAACAUUUGCAGCAUUACCCAGGACUCAAAAAUUGGCCUCAAACAGCCUUUAGUUCUGCCUCUAGAAAAAGAAUUACAACUAUAAAAACACUUACCUGGCCAGGUGUGGUGGCUCACACCUGUAAUCCUAGCACUUUGGGAGGCUGAGGCAGGUGGAUCACAUGAGGUCAGGAGUUCAAAACCAGCCUGGCCAACAUGGCAAAACCCCAUCUCUACUAAAAAUAUUGAAAAUUAGUCAUGUGGUGUCGCAUGACUGUAAUCCCAGCUACUUGGAAGACUGAGGUGGGAGAAUAGCUUGAACCUGGGAGGCAGAGCUUGCAGUGAGCUGAGAUCAUGCCACUGUACCCCAGCCUGGGUGACAGAGCAAGACUCCAUCUCAAACAAAACAAACCAGCAAACCAAAAAAAACACUUACCUGUGAAAAAAAUGUUUGACAUCAUUAGUGAUAAGGGAAAUGCAAAUUAAAACCUCUGCAUGCUCACCAGAAUGGCUAAUAUUAAAAAGAGCAACAACACUAAGUGUUGAAAAAGGUGCAGGGUAACUGGAAUGCUCACAUAAUGUAACAUAAUAUAACCACUUUGAAAAAUUGUCUAGUAGUUUCCUGUAAAACUAAACAUAAAGACCUACCCUAUGACCCAGCUUUCUACUCCUGGGUAGUUACCCAAGACAAAUGAAAACAUGUCUACAGGCUGGGGGUGGGGGCUAAUGACUGUAAUCUCAGUACUUUGGGAGGCAAAAGGAUCACUUGAGGCCAGGAGCUCAAGACCAGCCUGGGCAAUAUAGCAAGACCCAAUCUCUACGAUAAAUAAAUAAGAAAAAAGAAAACAUGUCCAAAAAAAGAUUUGUGCAGGAAUGGUCAUAACAACUUUAUUUGUUAUAGCCCCAAGCCAAAAACACCCAAACAUCCAUUAACAGGCGAAUGUACAUUCUUAUAAUGAAAUAUUAAUCAGCAACAAAAGGAACAAACUAUUGAUGCAUAUAUAAUAACAUGAUAAACUUCAAAAACAUUAUGCUGAGCAACAGAGGCCAGACAUAACAGAGCAAACACAUGGUUCCAUUUACAUGAAGUCCCGGAAUAGGCAAAACCGAUCUGAGGCUACAGAAAUAAGGGCAAUGACUGCCUGGAGUCGGGGAUCAGAGAACAGGCUAAACAGCACAGGUGACUCUGUGGGACGAAGGGAAUAUUCUAGAUCUCCAUCAUGGUGAUGAUUACUGAGGUGCAUACAUUUGUCAAAAUUCAUUGACUUGUACACUUAAUGUGUGAAUUUUAAAGCAUGUAAAUUACAUCUCAAUAAAGUUGAUUACAUACACAU